rnacentral:misc_RNA from 1 species
UUUCCGUAGGUGAACCUGCGGAAGGAUCAUUCAUAAUAAAGUGUUUUAUGGCCCUUUUUAAAACUCCAUAUCCACCUUGUGUGCAAUGUUAGAUCUCGUCAAUCUUGGCGAGAUUUUUAUACAUCAACUCAUUCUUUAACUAAUUUGUCUGAAAAAUAUUAUGAAUACUUAAUUCAAAAUACAGCUUUCAACAACGGAUCUCUUGGCUCUC